rnacentral:rRNA from 1 species
AGAGUUUGAUCCUGGCUCAGGAUGAACGCUAGCGGCAGGCCUAAUACAUGCAAGUCGAGGGGCAGCGGGGGUAGCAAUACCUGCCGGCGACCGGCAAACGGGUGCGGAACACGUACGCAACCUUCCUUUAAGCGGGGAAUAGCCCAGAGAAAUUUGGAUUAAUACCCCAUAAUAAUAUUUGGUGGCAUCAUCGGAUAUUUAAAGAUUUAUCACUUAGAGAUGGGCGUGCGUCUGAUUAGGUAGUUGGUGAGGUAACGGCUCACCAAGCCGACGAUCAGUAACUGGCGUGAGAGCGCGACCAGUCACACGGGCACUGAGACACGGGCCCGACUCCUACGGGAGGCAGCAGUAAGGAAUAUUGGUCAAUGGACGGAAGUCUGAACCAGCCAUGCCGCGUGGAGGAUGACGGCCCUCUGGGUUGUAAACUUCUUUUAUCUGGGACGAAACACUUCUUUUCUAAGGAGCUUGACGGUACCAGGUGAAUAAGCACCGGCUAACUCCGUGCCAGCCGCCGCGGUAAUUC